rnacentral:rRNA from 1 species
GAUGAACGCUAGCGGCAGGCCUAAUACAUGCAAGUCGAACGGUAACAUGAGUAGCAAUACUUGGUGACGAGUGGCGCACGGGUGCGUAACACGUAUGUAAUCUACCCACAACUGGGGGAUAGCCCGGAGAAAUCCGGAUUAACACCCCAUAACACAACGAAGCGGCAUCGCUUUGUUGUUAAACCUCAGGGGGUUGUGGAUGAACAUGCGCCCGAUUAGCUAGUUGGCGGGGAAUGGCCCACCAAGGCAACGAUCGGUAGGGGUACUGAGAGGUUUAACCCCCACACUGGUACUGAGACACGGACCAGACUCCGUACGGGAGGCAGCAGUAAGGAAUAUUGGACAAUGGAGGCAACUCUGAUCCAGCCAUG